rnacentral:rRNA from 1 species
UACGGAGGGAGCUAGCGUUGUUCGGAUUUACUGGGCGUAAAGGGCUCGUAGGCGGCCAACUAAGUCGGAUGUGAAAUCCCCAAGCUUAACUUGGGAACUGCAUCCGAUACUGGAUGGCUUGAAUCCGGGAGAGGGAUGCAGAAUUCCAGGUGUAGCGGUGAAAUGCGUAGAUAUCUGGAGGAAUACCGGUGGCGAAGGCGGCAUCCUGGACCGACAUUGAUGCUGAGGAGCGAAAGCUAGGGGAGCAAACGGGG